ACGGAGGGUGCGAGCGUUAAUCGGAAUCACUGGGCGUAAAGCGCACGUAGGCGGUGUCGUAAGUCGGAUGUGAAAGCCCUCGGCUCAACCGGGGAACUGCAUUCGAUACUGCGACGCUUGAGUGCCGGAGAGGGUGGCGGAAUUCCAGGUGUAGCGGGGAAGUGCGUAGAUAUGGGGGAGGAGGCCAGAGGCGAAGGCGGCAACGUAGCCUGAGACUGACGCUUAGGUGCGUGAGCGUGUGGAUGAAACAG
rnacentral:rRNA from 1 species